GGACGAACGCUGGCGGCGGUGCUUAACACAUGCAAGUCGAGCGGUAAGGGACCCUUUCGGGGGUACGACGAGCGGCGAACGGGUGAGUAACACGUGGGUGACCUGCCCUCAGCUCUGGGAUAAGCCUGGGAAACCGGGUCGUAAUACUGGAUAUGACUCCAUGACGCAUGUUGUGGGGUGGAAAGCCUUGUGCGGCUGAGGAUGGGCCCGCGGCCUAUCAGCUUGUUGGUGGGGUGAGGCCUACCAAGGCGACGACGGGUAGCCGGCCUGAGAGGGCGACCGGCCACACUGGGACUGAGACACGGCCCAGACUCCUACGGGAGGCAGCAGUGGGGAAUCUUGCG
rnacentral:rRNA from 1 species